GUGUUUUUGUAGAGGUCACCUGCGGAUCGUUUUCUCUGAAGUCUUCUCGCCGUCGCUUGCUGACACGUUUCCACACGUUCCAACACUGCAGAGCGAUAAAGAGGAAACUGCUGAGCAGCAGAACAUCAGCAGAGCCAGAAAAUCACACAUCAAUUGCCAAUAAAAGACAGACAUGGCCAGCAAACACACUAGUCCUGCAAAACAAGAAGAACCAGAGAAGCCAGAGCUCAGGAUUUUGCUUCUUGGAAAAACUGGAGUUGGAAAGAGUGUAUCAG